AGUGAACGCUGGCGGUAGGCCUAACACAUGCAAGUCGAACGGCAGCACAGUAAGAGCUUGCUCUUACGGGUGGCGAGUGGCGGACGGGUGAGGAAUACAUCGGAAUCUACUUUUUCGUGGGGGAUAACGUAGGGAAACUUACGCUAAUACCGCAUACGACCUACGGGUGAAAGCAGGGGAUCUUCGGACCUUGCGCGAUUGAAUGAGCCGAUGUCGGAUUAGCUAGUUGGCGGGGUAAAGGCCCACCAAGGCGACGAUCCGUAGCUGGUCUGAGAGGAUGAUCAGCCACACUGGAACUGAGACACGGUCCAGACUCCUACGGGAGGCAGCAGUGGGGAAUAUGGGACAAGGGGCGCAAGCCUGAUCCAGCCAUACCGCGUGGGUGAAGAAGGCCUUCGGGUUGUAAAGCCCUUUUGUUGGGAAAGAAAAGCAGCAGGUUAAUACCCCGCUGUUCUGACGGUACCCAAAGAAUAAGCACCGGCUAACUUCG
rnacentral:rRNA from 1 species